rnacentral:rRNA from 1 species
GAUGAACGCUAGCGGCAGGCUUAACACAUGCAAGUCGAGGGGCAGCAUAAUGGUAGCAAUACUAUUGAUGGCGACCGGCGGACGGGUGCGUAACGCGUAUGCAACCUACCCUUUACAGGGGGAUAACACUGAGAAAUCGGUACUAAUACCCCAUAAUAUUCUGGGAGGCAUCUUUCGGAGUUGAAAGCUUUGGUGGUAAAGGAUGGGCAUGCGUUGUAUUAGCUAGUUGGUAAGGUAACGGCUUACCAAGGCGACGAUACAUAGGGGGACUGAGAGGUUAACCCCCCACAUUGGUACUGAGACACGGACCAAACUCCUACGGGAGGCAGCAGUGAGGAAUAUUGGUCAAUGGACGGAAGUCUGAACCAGCCAUGCCGCGUGCAGGAAGACGGCUCUAUGAGUUGUAAACUGCUUUUGUACGAGGGUAAACGCAGAUACGCGUAUCUGCCUGAAAGUAUCGUACGAAUAAGGAUCGGCUAACUCCGUGCCAGCAGCCGCGGUAAUACGGAGGAUCCAAGCGUUAUCCGGAUUUAUUGGGUUUAAAGGGUGCGUAGGCGGUUUAGUAAGUCAGCGGUGAAAUUUUGGUGCUUAACACCAAACGUGCCGUUGAUACUGCUGGGCUAGAGAGUAGUUGCGGUAGGCGGAAUGUAUGGUGUAGCGGUGAAAUGCUUAGAGAUCAUACAGAACACCGAUUGCGAAGGCAGCUUACCAAACUAUAUCUGACGUUGAGGCACGAAAGCGUGGGGAGCAAACAGGAUUAGAUACCCUGGUAGUCCACGCAGUAAACGAUGAUAGCUCGUUGUCGGCGAUACACAGUCGGUGACUAAGAGAAAUCGAUAAGCUAUCCACCUGGGGAGUACGUUCGCAAGAAUGAAACUCAAAGGAAUUGACGGGGGCCCGCACAAGCGGAGGAACAUGUGGUUUAAUUCGAUGAUACGCGAGGAACCUUACCCGGGCUUGAAAGUUACUGACGAUUCUGGAAACAGGAUUUCCCUUCGGGGCAGGAAACUAGGUGCUGCAUGGUUGUCGUCAGCUCGUGCCGUGAGGUGUCGGGUUAAGUCCCAUAACGAGCGCAACCCCUACUGAUAGUUGCCAUCAGA